rnacentral:rRNA from 1 species
CCGCGAGGUGGAGCAAAUCCCUAAAAGCCAUCCCAGUUCGGAUUGCAGGCUGCAACCCGCCUGUAUGAAGUUGGAAUCGCUAGUAAUCGCGGAUCAGCAUGCCGCGGUGAAUACGUUCCCGGGCCUUGUACACACCGCCCGUCACACCAUGAGAGUCGGGAACACCCGAAGUCCGUAGCCUAACCGCAAGGGGGGCGCGGCCGAAGGUGGGUUCGAUAAUUGGGGUGAAGUCGUAACAAGGUAUC